AGAGUUUGAUCCUGGCUCAGGAUGAACGCUAGCUACAGGCUUAACACAUGCAAGUCGAGGGGCAGCAUGGUCUUAGCUUGCUAAGACUGAUGGCGACCGGCGCACGGGUGAGUAACACGUAUCCAACCUGCCGUCUACUCUUGGACAGCCUUCUGAAAGGAAGAUUAAUACAAGAUGGCAUCAUGAGUCCGCAUGUUCACAUGAUUAAAGGUAUUCCGGUAGACGAUGGGGAUGCGUUCCAUUAGAUAGUAGGCGGGGUAACGGCCCACCUAGUCUUCGAUGGAUAGGGGUUCUGAGAGGAAGGUCCCCCACAUUGGAACUGAGACACGGUCCAAACUCCUACGGGAGGCAGCAGUGAGGAAUAUUGGUCAAUGGGCGAGAGCCUGAACCAGCCAAGUAGCGUGAAGGAUGACUGCCCUAUGGGUUGUAAACCUCUUUUAUAAAGGAAUAAAGUCGGGUAUGCAUACCCGUUUGCAUGUACUUUAUGAAUAAGGAUCGGCUAACUCCGUGCCAGCAGCCGCGGUAAUACGGAGGAUCCGAGCGUUAUCCGGAUUUAUUGGGUUUAAAGGGAGCGUAGAUGGAUGUUUAAGUCAGUUGUGAAAGUUUGCGGCUCAACCGUAAAAUUGCAGUUGAUACUGGAUAUCUUGAGUGCAGUUGAGGCAGGCGGAAUUCGUGGUGUAGCGGUGAAAUGCUUAGAUAUCACGAAGAACUCCGAUUGCGAAGGCAGCCUGCUAAGCUGCAACUGACAUUGAGGCUCGAAAGUGUGGGUAUCAAACAGGAUUAGAUACCCUGGUAGUCCACACGGUAAACGAUGAAUACUCGCUGUUUGCGAUAUACGGCAAGCGGCCAAGCGAAAGCGUUAAGUAUUCCACCUGGGGAGUACGCCGGCAACGGUGAAACUCAAAGGAAUUGACGGGGGCCCGCACAAGCGGAGGAACAUGUGGUUUAAUUCGAUGAUACGCGAGGAACCUUACCCGGGCUUAAAUUGCAGAUGAAUUACGGUGAAAGCCGUAAGCCGCAAGGCAUCUGUGAAGGUGCUGCAUGGUUGUCGUCAGCUCGUGCCGUGAGGUGUCGGCUUAAGUGCCAUAACGAGCGCAACCCUUGUUGUCAGUUACUAACAGGUUCUGCUGAGGACUCUGACAAGACUGCCAUCGUAAGAUGUGAGGAAGGUGGGGAUGACGUCAAAUCAGCACGGCCCUUACGUCCGGGGCUACACACGUGUUACAAUGGGGGGUACAGAGGGCCGCUACCACGCGAGUGGAUGCCAAUCCCCAAAACCUCUCUCAGUUCGGACUGGAGUCUGCAACCCGACUCCACGAAGCUGGAUUCGCUAGUAAUCGCGCAUCAGCCACGGCGCGGUGAAUACGUUCCCGGGCCUCGUACACACCGCCCGUCAAGCCAUGGGAGCCGGGGGUACCUGAAGUGCGUAACCGCGAGGAGCGCCCUAGGGUAAAACUGGUGACUGGGGCUAAGUCGUAACAAGGUA
rnacentral:rRNA from 1 species